GAUGAACGCUGACAGCAUGCUUAACACAUGCAAGUCAACUUGAAUUUGGGUUUUUAACUUAGGUUUGGGUGGCGGACGGGUGAGUAACGCGUAAAGAACUUGCCUCACAGCUAGGGACAACAUUUGGAAACGAAUGCUAAUACCUCAUAUUAUGAUAAUAGGGCAUCCUAUAAUUAUGAAAGCUAUAAGCGCUGUGAGAGAGCUUUGCGUCCCAUUAGCUAGUUGGAGAGGUAACGGCUCACCAAGGCGAUGAUGGGUAGCCGGCCUGAGAGGGUGAUCGGCCACAAGGGGACGGAGACACGGCCCGUACUCCUACGGGAGGCAGCAGUGGGGAAUAUGGGACAAUGGACCGAGAGUCUGAUCCAGCAAUUCUGUGUGCACGAUGAAGUUUUUCGGAAUGUAAAGUGCUUUCAGUUGGGAAGAAACAAAUGACGGUACCAACAGAAGAAGUGACGGCUAAAUACGUG
rnacentral:rRNA from 1 species